GGAGCGGUAGUUCAGCUGGUUAGAACUACCUGCCUGUUCACGCAGGGGGUCGCGGGUUCGAGUCCCGUCCGUUCCGCCA
rnacentral:tRNA from 1 species